CUGUUGGUCUACCAUGGCUGUGAGAGCCUGGGAUGCUUGCAGACCUAGAGGAAUAAUCUAUCUGUUGCCUAAGCUCACUGAAGUUCCUACACAUGCAUGCCUAGGGCAGUCUUAAAUGAAGACAAGGGACAAAACACUGAUGCUUAUAAAAGUGCUGUUCUGAGCUUCACUGAGACCAAGCGAGUSAAGGAAAGGGCUGGCCAGCCUUUCUGGUGGAUGCUUGCAUGUCUCCGUGCAUUCUGGCCGAGAUGGAGUGGAAGUGGCACAGCCUCAGAAUACCUGGGAACCAAGAACUGAAAACCCUCUUGGAAACAUCUCAUGGUCUAAUGAAAUUCCUGGGCCAGGAUCCAGUCUGAACGGAUGCAGACAACCAGCCAAACUGAACCACCGGUUCUGCAGAGAUUCAGCCAUCGUUGGUGAUGGAUGGGUGGGAUUUUCAAGGAAGUUUGCAGAACACCCAAAUUUGCUGACCACCCAAAUCCCUUUAAAUUUCAGUUGGAAAUUCAGCUCCUAUCUUUCUUAUGYGCUAGUGAAAAUGUUCAUCUC